GGACGAACGCUGGCGGCGCGCCUAACACAUGCAAGUCGAACGGAGCAUAGGAACGGAAGCUUCGGCAGAAGAUCCUAUGUUUAGUGGCGAACGGGUGAGUAACACGUGAGGAACCUGCCUUUAAGAGGGGGAUAACACUUAGAAAUAGGUGCUAAUACCGCAUAAGACCGCAUAGCGGCAUCGCUGAGGGGUCAAAGGAGGAAUCCGCUUAAAGAUGGCCUCGCGUCCGAUUAGGUAGUAGGCGGGGCAACGGCCCACCUAGCCGACGAUCGGUAGCCGGACUGAGAGGUCGAACGGCCACAUUGGGACUGAGACACGGCCCAGACUCCUACGGGAGGCAGCAGUGGGGAAUAUUGGGGCAAUGGGGGAAACCCUGACCCAGCGACGCCGCGUGAGGGAAGAAGGUUUUCGGAUUGUAAACCUCUGUCUUCGGGGACGAUAGUGACGGUACCCGAGGAGGAAGCCACGGCUAACUACGUGCCAGCCGCUGC
rnacentral:rRNA from 1 species